rnacentral:lncRNA from 1 species
CGGGGGGACAUAGUACUGUAUUAAGUUACCUAGCUUAAAUUGGAAGCGUUACCAGCUGCAGCCUAAGGCCACAUGAAAUAUAAAGAAAGAACUAUGGAUAUGUAGAGUCAUCCUAAACAAAUCUUGUUGCCUAUCAUAUCAUUGGAGAUGAAGAAUCCAUAAGAAACAACCUAAAUUAACUUUUCUUAUCUUGUUAAAUAUCAGUGUCAUCCGACAAUGCACAUUACAAAAUUUUGGUUAACAAAAAAAAGUAUGAUAGAUGCGAAGUUCAUAAAUUUGAUUUUAAAAGUACUAAAUCUUGAACAUGUCCGG